CACUGACAAAACAGCUCAUUCAAAAGAAAUUAAAUAAAUAUGGCAUGUGAGAAAUAAAAUAAAGAGAUGUUUGACUUAGAAAGUAACAAUUCAAAGUUGGCAUUAAAUAUCUGAAAGGGUGGUGGUUGAUUAGGAGCUCUGGAUGGAUGAUAUAGGGAGGUAGAUUUUGACAUAGUGUGAGAAAGGCUUUUAAUAAUUGGUUUGUUCAAAAGUGAAACGAGUGGGCUUGUGAGACUUGGAAAAGAGGUUUCUAUGUGUCAUGGGAGGUUACAAUCACACUCUUGAGAUCCUUUCUGGUUUUAAUGUUCUUUGAUCCUCUAUGUAGUCAAUAAAUAGUUUUUAAAAGCUCCCUAAGUCACGUUUUAUAGCUACUACUCUUUAAAUCCCAAAUGGAUGUCAGGCCUAAUCAUGGAAGCAAACAUCCAACAGAACUGUGAUGGGCUCAGGAUUCUCACUGACAAUUGUCUCCACGAUCCCAUUUUCAUUCACCACAAUGUCUUCUAGCACUUAUUCCUGUAUCCUUUGUCCUAUCUUUCUUGGUCAAGACUUUUUGUUUCACGUAACUAUCUGGGAGUUAUUGCGGGGCUGAUUUGAGAUUGAAAUGGUAUCUCACUGACUCAGAAGUUUACUUUGGAAGUAAACUAAAAAACCUGAAAAAUUGUCCUACAAUACUCUUGAGGCACGCAAGCUGCCUGGCAAAGUUCUCAUUGGACAUAUUAAUAGCAAUAAUAUGUAUUUUUGGAGAUACUCAUUUAAGUACAAAACAUGUUGAUCAAAGAUAGAUUAAGAACAUAAAUGGAAAUUACAAUUUAACACAAAAUUAACAUUCCCUAGCAAACAUCCCAAGUAAUGGUUUCUUAAGUAUGGUAACUAUUACUGAAUAAUGAUGCAGGGGCUGGAAAAAUAAUGAAUACUACAAAUGUCACUUUCCCAGAACUGUAUAUUUUGAAGUCUAAAAAUUAAUAAUUUGAUAUACCUAGAAUAUUUUGCCAAAAUAAAUUAUUAAUAAGAAGGAAAUCAUGGAGGCAAAUCAACCUUGAUGAUUUUAGGGUCUAUAAUAUUUUCAGUAUAUACAGAGCCCCCAAAUUUGCAUUUAUUUAACAAAUAUUUACUCAGAACAUUCUGUUUCAGGCACUAUUACACGUUCUUUGGCUAUAUCAGUGAACAAAAAAGACAAAAUUCUUUCCCUCAAGAAGCUUAUAGUUAGUGUAGGAAAAUAGCUAAUAAAUAAAAUAUGUCUAAGUAAAUUAUGUAUUAGAAAUUUACACAGGCUAUAGUGAAAAAUCAAUCAGGGAAGGAGUACACAAAAUGAGGGUACUGCCUUUAAAAAUAGGGUGGACAGGGAAAGUCCCAGUGGGAAGGUGACAGUGGGCCAAGACUCAAAGACGGUGAAGGAACAAGCCGGGAUGCUCUCAGGAGGAAGGAUAUUUUAGGAAUAGGAAACAUCUUAAGGCUCUGAAGAGGGUGAACUCGGCUCGUUCAAGAAACAUCAAAGAGAACAGAUGAGCCAUUUACCAGAAAGAUAACUCGAUGGGAAGGUGCAGAUCAUGUUCUACUCUGCUGAUCACGGCAAGGAUUGUGGCUCUUGCCUUGAAUAUCAUGGGGAGCUAUCGCACAGUUUUGAUCAGAAAAAUAACAGGUACAUUUAGAUGGCUAUAUUGAAACUAACCUAUGACAGAGUAAAAGAGAAGCAGGGAGACCAGGUAGGUGGCUGUUUUAGGACAGAAAGGAUGGAGAUUUGGACUAGAGUAAUAGAGGUGGAGGUGGUGAGAAGCUCUGUCUGUUCUUAAAUAAAGAGCCAACAGGAUUUCCUAAGGAUCAGAUACAGGAUAUGAGAGACAGAAGUCAAGAAUGAUUUCAAGGCUCUGGGACUAAUAAAUUAGAAAAAUGGAUUUGCUACUAACUGAGAAAAGAAAGAUGAAAGGUGGAGCAACUUUGAGUGUUGGAUGCAAUAAGUUUGAAAAAUGUACAUUAAACAGCCAGACAAUGAGAAGAGAAUAUCAAAUGGGUAAAUAUUUUUGGUCAAUUAGAUCAUUCAGUGGCUCUCACAGCAUAUCCAACUAAAAAGCUGUACUAAUUAGUAUAGGCAAAAACAAGGCAAAAAUAAAUUCUAAGCCCUAGUCACAACUUCUGAUUUUCAAACAGAAUAUUACCAAAAAAUAUGCAAAAUAUUGUGGACAUUCUAAGGAGUGCAGGGUUGAAAAAGGAGAUUUGGGUCAUUUAAUUUUGCCUAUAAUAUGUGGAGCAAUUUCCAAAGCAGCCAGAUUGACACACUUAAUCAGUUCCCCUUAACACAGAAAAGGAAUUCAUCUAAAUUUGUACAUAAUUAUUUAAUCCAAAAUCCCAAUGGACAAAUGAUAAGUAAGACUCUCCCUGUUGCUAAAAUUAUACUAACGUGUAUAUCCUUCAUGUCCUAACAAGGUGAAGAACAAUAUCGAUGUUCUGGGCUGCAAAACUGAUAAAAGCUUCUUGUGCUUCACAACUCCAGAGCAAUAUUUCACUUGACUAAAAUUCCUGCUUCCUACAGGCUAAAUAUUUUAUAUGCAGAGUUAAAUAUACAAAUAAUAUUAAAUGCAAUACAUUUCUGACAGUGAUAUAAUUUGAGGCAGAAUCUUUCCAAUCAUAUUUACAUACUGCUGGGUGGAUUGGGUGCUCAAGCUUAACAUACAAGGUGAGAAUCAGCAAACAAAGGCAUACUGUGGGCUUUAUUGUCAAGGAAGGGAAAGCAGUAAUUAGUCAGUACCUACUCUUUCCCAGGAAGUCUCCUAUGUUCUUUCAAAAUAAACUUUGAAUUUUCAUGCUACACAGCUCUUAUUUUUUUACAGGUAUAAAUAACUAAGGCUUAGGGGAUUAAACUGUAUGUCUUCAUUGAAUCUGCCCAAAUAAAUUGAUUCUGGGUCCUUUUUUAUUUUUUCCAUAUUUUAGCUUAUAUUUUCCCCCUGUUAGGGUGAGUUAGAAAUUAUGUGCCACAUAGGGACAUUUACCUGCUUUCACAAGAAAUUUUUACGGGAUCAUGAUUAGGCCUCAAAGUUAAGUACUGGGAAAUUUCAGGCUGAACCCCCUCAUCUCCUUUUAAAUAAAGACUGGAUCUGCCAGGGCCAUUUGAAGCCAAGUCCACAUAUUGUGAUUAUUGAGUUUUUGGUAUCCCCUCCCUUAGAUUCUGCACCCGAGGUAAGUGCCAAAUUUGCUUGACCCUAGGCUGGCAGGGUCCUGCCCUUCUUGCUUUGCUUCCCAGCCUUCUAGACAAAAGUAUAAAAUAAGAACCUACAACUGAUGAUUUUAUCAACCUAAAUGCACAAAAUUCUACAUGUCGACCUCCUCUGAUCAAAGUAACAGAUCUUAUUAAAUAAAACACACACACAUGAGACAGAAAAUUUAAAUCAGGUUUGAGAAGUUGAGACCUGUUCUAUUUAUAAGACAAAUUAUUUUACUCAGGGAUUUCUAAGACAAUGAAUAAGUUGUACCAUCCAGAAUAUAAUAAAAAUACAAAAAAAAUCUAAUCUAUUUUAGGACUUUCCAUGAGGACCCAGGCUUAGAUACUUGAGGGGUCUAAAUUCAUAAGUACUCAUGAAAUUGGUUACUGUCAAAGAAGACUUUAGUUAUUCAAAUUGGAAAAAAAGACUAAGAAUCGAACUUGAAACUGAGCUAGUUGUUUCAUUAAAGAUUUACAGCACAUUCAUAUAUGUUAUCUCUGUAGAGCUAUAGGGAUAAAGGGGUAAAUCAAAUGUGAAUCCUGAGCCAAUGUGUAUAUAACCUAGAAGGAUGGACACAGACUGUUAUAAUAUUAAGAAGAUAUCAUAUAUGGAGAUAGGAAAGUUGAUGAGCUUUUAACAAGAAAGGAAAUAUUUUAGGCAAGGGAAUUAGGAAAGACUGCUUAGUAGCAGCUGAGAUAGACCUUGACAAUGAAUAGCCAAAGGACAGAAAAAGAAGGCAAUAUGAGGAAUGGGUUCCUGAUGAGUGGAAACAGAUGAACAACACUUGAUAUGUAAGAAUAUUGAGACAUUCUCAGUAAAAGAAAGCCAGUAACUUAGUUUAAUAGGUGUGUAAAACAUAUAAUAGGGAAGAUGAUACUUAGACAAAUGUUUAGCACAGAAAAGGUAUUAAAAAAAUAAACACUUUUUGAAUGAAAGCAAUGAAUAAAUGAAGACUGAAAGGAAAGAUAAUGCCAAAUUGCAGAGAUCUUUGAAUACUAGGAUAAACAAAUUGCACUUGAGAUAAAGUGGAACACUUAAAGCCUUUUGAGCAAAGAUGGAUCGCUAUCAGAACUAGGCUGAAGGAAGAUUAAUUGGUGGGGGCAAUCAGUUAGCUAUUUCUAUAGUCCAGGAGGGUAGCAAUAGUGACAUGGAAUUACUUAAUUGGAAGUAGAAAGGGGAAGGAGGGAGAAACCGGAGAGAUGCUGCAGAGGCAAAAUUGAUAGUUAAAGCAAUUAAUUGGCUCUGGUAAGAAAGAUGAAAGCGAGGAAAAUGACUCCUCAGUUUCCAGGCUGGAUGACAGGGAGGGUAUCAGUGCUUUUAACAGAAACAACAGAGAAAGAUAAGCAUCAACUUGCAGAGAAAGAUAAUUAGUUCAGUGUUAGACAUGCGGCUGGCAGGGGCACUGGCAGGACAUCCAGGUAGAGAUGUGCAGCAAGCAGAUAAGUGUUGUCUUGUUCCUAAAAAAAUAAAUGCUGUCACAAGGGGAGCAGCAACAUUUGCCACUUAACCUCUACUUUCUGAUUAAUUGCAUGUAAGGAGCAAAGAUAGCCAAGGUUCUGUUCCUUAGUGUUGAAACACUCAUGAAAAUCAUGUAUACAUUUUAAAAAGCCAAGUACUAGCAAUUAAGGUGAUAAAAGAUUUUAGAUUACCUAGAUGUACCUGAAGCUCUGGAUACUUAAAUCCUCUGGUUGGAACACAAUAAAUGAAGUACGAAUAAAUUGAGUGGCUUGCUUGGGCUAAACUAUAACAUAGGCCAUGGCUCUCCAACUCCAGUUGCAUCAGAACCAUCAGAGGAGCUUGUUAGCAUACAAUUUCCCAGCCUCACCCCGAGAGUCUCUGAUUAGGUAAUUCUGGAGUGGUCUAAGAAUUUAUAGUUCUCACAGAUGCCCUUGAGGUGCUGGUGCUAUUGGUCUAGGACCACACUUUGAGCAUCAAGGGAGGGGGGUUAUAAAUAAUGUCUAAAAAGUGAUUCUCAGAAGAUAAUCUGUGAACAAUUACAAACACUUGGAUUACUUGUUAAAAAUUUAAUUCUUUUGGUCUCACCCUAGAUCCCAUGGAUCUUCAUAUCUGAGUUUAGAGUUUGGAAAUAAGCUUUUUGUGCAGCCUCUCUAGGUAAGUCUUCAUACCUUCUAAACUUUGAGAACCACUCAAAUUGUGAUCUGAAUUUGAAUUAGCUUUGGGAGGACAUUAGAGACUAAAGUUCUAUAAUUGUGGAAGAGAGAACAAAUGACCAGGAGUAAAAAGAUGGGGGCCACAGUCAUAAAUCUUGAUGCUAAUUAGCUGUGUGGCCUUAGGUCAAUUACUUAAGCUUUUUAGGUACAAUUUUUUUCAUCUAUAAACUGAAGGAUCUGUGAUGAAUUCUGGGAGUAACAAUGGGUAACAUUUAACUCCCAGAGAGUUCAGGAAAAAAACCAAUAUUCCUCAAUGGAAUAGGAUGGGUUUGCUUCUGCUUUGUUUUGUUGAAUUGUACCUGUCUCUGAUUUGCCUCAGUUGCUAGAGAUAGUUUGUUAGGUUAUUGGUCUCUUCUGUCUUUGAGAAUUACUAUUGGGUGAACCAUUUUUGUGGGUUGGAUUGACUUCUACUUCUCAUAAAUGCUGGGCUUAAAUGAUUACCCAGUACAAUCUAAUUUCUACUGGAGUAAAUUACAGAGAUUAUUGUGAUUCAAGUUUGUUAGUCAAAAUACUACCUCUUAAAAAUGAAUAUUAAAAUAGAACUUAAAUUUAUAUGCUCCCUCUCACACCCAUAGGAUGGCCACUUUCAAAAAAAUCAGAAUAAGUGAUGGUAAAGAGGUGAAGAAAUUGGAAACUUUGUGUACAAUUGGGGGAAAUGUACAGUGGUACUGCCACUAUGAAAAAUAGUAUGUGAUUCUUCAAAAUAUUAAAAAUAGGAUUACUACAUGACCCAUUAAUGUCACUUCUGGGUAUAUACUUAAUUGAAAGAAGGGCCCAAAUGUAUUUCAUAUUCAUAGCAGCAUUACUGACAAUACCCAAAAGAUGGGAGAAAUCCAAGUACCUUUAAGUGAAUGAAAAGAUGAACAAAAUAUGGUAUACACAUACAAUGAAACAUUACUCAGCCUUAAAAAAGAAAAACAUUCUGGAGUUCCUCUCCUGGCUCAGUGGUAAUGAAUCUGACUAGUAUCCAUGAAGACACAGGUUCAAUCCCUGGCCUCACUCAGUGGGUUAAGGAUCCAGUGUUGCCAUGUGGUGCAGGUCACAGAUGUGGCUUGGAUCUGGUAUUGAUGUGAUUGUGGCUGUGGUGCAGGCCAGCAGCUGCAGCUCCGAUUCAUCCCCUAGCCUGGGAACCUUCCUAUGCUGCAGGUGUGACCCUAAAAAGACAAAAAAAAAAAA
rnacentral:lncRNA from 1 species